GGGAUAAGCAGAGAGGAGAAUUCUGGGAAGACAAAGACUGAGUCAGUAGAUGCCAUCCUGCCAUCCAGGGAGCAGCAUGUAAUGGCACACAGAGCUUCUCUCCAAUGACUGAUGGAAGCAGAUGCAGAGAUCCACAGCCAAACACCAGGCAGAGCUCCAGAAAUCCAGUCAAAGAGAGAGAAGAGGAAUUCUAGGAGCAAGUGCAUCAGGAUCAUGAUGGGGAAACAUGCAGAAACAACCAAACCAAACUAGUAGGAACUCAUGAAAGUUGGAUCAAUGGCUGUGGAGCCUGUAUGGGACUGGACUAGGCCCUCUGCAUGAGGGACUACAUGAGCAAGCGUCUUAAAGAUCUUGAUGGGGAAAUCUACAGAAACAACUGAACCAAGUUCAAAGGAACUCAGGAAAUUUAGACUGACAGCUGCAGAACCUGCAUGAGACUGGACUAGACCUUCUGCAUAUGGGAGACCCUCAUAUAGCUAGGUCUGUUUGAGGGGCCCCUGGAAGUGCGAUCAGGAUCUAUCUAUCCUGGUGCAUGAGCCAUCUUUCUGGAUCCCAUUACCUAAGGUUGAACACCUUGCUCUUGCUUGAUAAAACGGGGAGGGGCUUGGUCCUGCCUCAACAGAAUGUACCAGGCUUAGCUGUCCCACCAUGGGAGAACUUACCUUGUUGGAGGAGGGGAUG